rnacentral:rRNA from 1 species
CCCUUCGGGGAAGUUCCGAGACAGGUGGCUGCAUGGCUGUCGUCAGCUCGUGCCGUGAGGUGUUGGGUUAAGUCCCGCACGAGCGCAACCCCUAUUGCCAGUUGCUACCAGGUAAUGCUGGGCACUCUGGUGAGACUGCCCCGGUUAACGGGGAGGAAGGUGGGGACGACGUCAAGUCAUCAUGGCCCUUACGCCUAGGGCUACACACGUACUACAAUGGCGCAUACAAAGGGCAGCGAUACCGCGAGGUGGAGCCAAUCCCAAAAAAGUGCGUCCCAGUCCGGAUUGCAGUCUGCAACUCGACUGCAUGAAGUUGGAAUCGCUAGUAAUUCGAGAUCAGCAUGCUCGGGUGAAUGCGUUCCCGGGCCUU